rnacentral:rRNA from 1 species
UAGGGAAUCUUCCACAAUGGACGCAAGUCUGAUGGAGCAACGCCGCGUGAGUGAAGAAGGUUUUCGGACCGUAAAGCUCUGUUGUUGGUGAAGAAGGAUAGAGGUAGUAACUGGCCUUUAUUUGACGGUAAUCAACCAGAAAGUCACGGCUAACUACGUGCCAGCAGCCGCGGUAAUACGUAGGUGGCAAGCGUUGUCCGGAUUUAUUGGGCGUAAAGCGAGCGCAGGCGGAAGAAUAAGUCUGAUGUGAAAGCCCUCGGCUUAACCGAGGAAUUGCAUCGGAAACUGUUUUUCUUGAGUGCAGAAGAGGAGAGUAGAACUCCAUGUGUAGCGGUGGAAUGCGUAGAUAUAUGGAAGAAUACCAGUGGCGAAGGCGGCUCUCUGGUCUGCAACUGACGCUGAGGCUCGAAAGCAUGGGUAGCGAACAGGAUUAGAUACCCUGGUAGUCCAUGCCGUAAACGAUGAGUGCUAAGUGUUGGGAGGCUUCCGCCUCUCAGUGCUGCAGCUAACGCAUUAAGCACUCCGCCUGGGGGAGUACGACCGCAAGGUUGAA